rnacentral:tRNA from 1 species
AGCCUUGUGGACAAAUAGACAAGUCGUUCUGAUUCUCAGUCAGAGAGAAGCGGGUGCAACUCCCGUCAAGGCUUCCA